CCUACGGGUGGCUGCAGUGGGGAAUAUUGCACAAUGGGGGAAACCCUGAUGCAGCGACGCCGCGUGAGUGAAGAAGUCUUUCGGUAUGUAAAGCUCUAUCAGCAAGCACGAGACAAGACGGUACCUGACUAAGAAGCCCCGGCUAACUACGUGCCAGCAGCAGCGGUAAUACGUCGGGGGCAAGCGUUAUCCUGAAUCCCGGGGUGAAAAGGGAGCGUAGUCGGCUGAGCAAGGCUGAAGUGAAAGGCGGGGGACCAACCCCCGGACUGCUUUGGGAACUGGACGGCUGGAGUGCAGGAGAGGUAAGUGGAAUUCCUGGUGUAGCGGUGAAAUGCGUAGAGAUUAGGAGGAACACCAGUGGCGAAGGCGGCUGACUGGACUGUAACUGACGUUGAGGCUCGAAAGCGUGGGGAGCAAACAGGAUUAGAUACCCCAGUAGUC
rnacentral:rRNA from 1 species